AGUGAGCCGAGAUUCACCAUUGCACUCCAGCCUGGGCAACAAGAACAAAACUCCAUCUCAAAAUAAAUAGUUAGUGCCAAGCAUGUCAUGCUGUAGUCAUGCGAGUCUAAGUGUCUAACAGACCCUGAGAAGAACUCCAAAGUGGGCAUCGUAACCUAGCAACAGUGACCAUCCUAGGAAGAAUAGCACCCCAGGAACCCAGAUUAUGUUCUGUUUUGCAUACCAGUGAAACUAGUGACAUCGGCUGGUCUAAAGGACCCCACAAGCAGUUGACUCAAAGAACAAAGUUUCCAAGUUCUGAUUUUCAUACCCCUUCCUCGAUCAAUCAACAACCACAAUUUUCUAGCCCCUUGCCCUUCAUAAUUCUCUUAAAAACCCCAGCCCAGAACCCCUCAGAGAUGGAUUCGAGGGUCUCCUUCCAUCUCCUUGCUCAGCCACCCUACAAUCAUUAAAGGCUUUCUCUGCUGCAAA